GCUUGUGCGAGGUCGCAGUAGCAGUAGCAGUAACAGCGCAUUUUCCUUCCAUCGGUAAACUGACUACCCCUAAAGACCGCAUGCAAGGAGACAGACCGAGACGGGGGAUAUAGACGUGUCGGAAUCCCGCAGUUCGUCAGUGGCUCGGACGUUGCAGGCAAUUUGCAUGAACAUCGUCGAAAACAAGAAAAAGUGAAAAAGUGAAAAAAGUGAAAGUGAAAGUGGAAGUGAACAGAAAUUAACUUAACUUGGUGAUAUGACUUGUAGUGCAUGAACGAGAGGAAUUUUAGGAAACAUUGUUUUUGUUUUUGUUUUGUGUAUGUUAAUUUAUAUUUAAGUUUGAAAAUAAAUGGUUAAAGGUU